CAGCGCGGCCCCUUGGAGCCUGGCGAGGGCUGCAGACCCAUCAAGAGAGGGCGGGUCGGGGUCAGCUGCUGCAGGCGGGCCGGCGCGGGAGCUGUGGGCGGCCGCCGCGUCUUCUGCUGCCGCCCUCCCUCCGCCACGAUGCCGGGGAUCGACAAGCUGCCCAUCGAGGAAACGCUGGAGGACAGCCCGCAGACAAGGUCUUUACUGGGUGUAUUUGAAGAAGAUGCUACAGCUAUUUCCAACUAUAUGAACCAGUUGUAUCAAGCUAUGCAUCGGAUUUAUGAUGCACAGAAUGAAUUAAGUGCAGCAACUCACCUGACUUCAAAACUUUUAAAAGAAUAUGAAAAACAGCGUUUUCCACUGGGGGGUGAUGAUGAAGUUAUGAGUUCUACUUUGCAACAGUUUUCAAAAGUUAUAGAUGAGCUUAGCUCUUGUCAUGCGGUACUUUCAACGCAGCUUGCUGAUGCCAUGAUGUUCCCCAUUACCCAGUUUAAAGAAAGAGAUCUGAAAGAAAUAUUGACAUUAAAGGAAGUGUUUCAGAUUGCUAGUAAUGAUCAUGAUGCUGCAAUUAACAGAUAUAGCAGAUUGUCAAAGAAAAGAGAAAAUGACAAGGUGAAGUAUGAAGUAACAGAAGAUGUCUACACUUCCAGAAAAAAACAACACCAGACCAUGAUGCAUUAUUUUUGUGCAUUAAAUACUCUUCAAUACAAAAAGAAAAUAGCAUUGUUAGAACCUCUACUUGGGUACAUGCAAGCUCAGAUAAGUUUCUUUAAGAUGGGUUCUGAAAAUCUCAAUGACCAACUGGAAGAAUUCUUAACUAAUAUUGGAACAAGUGUACAGAAUGUUCGCAGGGAAAUGGACAGUGAUGUAGAGACCAUGCAGCAGACAAUAGAGGAUUUGGAAGUAGCCAGUGACCCCUUGUAUGUGCCUGACCCAGAUCCCACAAAAUUUCCUGUUAAUCGAAACUUAACCCGAAAGGCUGGAUACCUUAAUGCUAGGAAUAAAACAGGCUUGGUGUCAUCUACCUGGGACAGACAGUUUUACUUCACACAGGGUGGAAACCUAAUGAGUCAGGCCCGUGGGGACGUAGCAGGAGGCCUGGCCAUGGACAUAGACAACUGUUCAGUAAUGGCUGUGGACUGUGAAGACAGGCGAUACUGUUUUCAGAUCACUUCUUUUGAUGGCAAAAAGUCUUCAAUUUUGCAAGCAGAAAGUAAAAAAGACCAUGAAGAGUGGAUCUGUACAAUAAAUAAUAUAUCUAAACAGAUAUAUUUAAGUGAAAACCCAGAGGAAAUUGCUGCACGAGUAAAUCAGUCAGCUUUGGAAGCUGUUACUCCUUCCCCAUCUUUCCAGCAGAGGCACGAGAGCCUGCGGCCAGCAGGACAAUCUCGGCCACUGACAGCUCGAACCAGCAGGUCAGGAUCCAUAGGAUCUGAGUCCACAAAUUUGGCUGCCCUCUCUCUAGAUUCUCUCGUUGCCCCAGACACCCCAAUACAGUUUGACAUCAUUUCUCCUGUGUGUGAAGAUCAGCCUGGCCAGGCAAAAGCCUCUGGCCAGGGAGGCAGGCGUACAAAUCCAUUUGGAGAAUCUGGAGGAGGUACAAAAUCUGAAACUGAAGAUUCUAUUCUUCAUCAGUUGUUUAUUGUCCGAUUCCUUGGUUCUAUGGAGGUGAAAUCAGAUGACAAUCCAGAUGUUGUUUAUGAAACAAUGCGCCAAAUCUUAGCUGCCCGGGCCAUCCAUAACAUCUUUCGUAUGACAGAAUCACAUUUAUUAGUCUCUUGUGAUUGUUUAAAGUUAAUUGAUCCACAGACACAAGUUACAAGGCUCAUGUUUCCAUUACCCAGUGUAGUUUUGUAUGCUACACACCAGGAAAAUAAGAGGCUUUUUGGAUUUGUUCUUCGGACAUCAGGAGGGAGAAGUGAAAGUAAUCUGUCAUCAGUCUGCUAUAUAUUUGAAUCAAACAAUGAGGGUGAAAAGAUUUGUGAUUCUGUUGGACUGGCAAAACAGAUAGCUUUGCAUGCAGAACUGUUGUAUUCAUCUGGUCUUCAGGAUCGCAGGGCAUCAGAAAAACAAAAAGAAAUAGAGAGAGUAAAAGAGAAGCAACAGAAAGAACUCAGUAAACAAAAACAAAUUGAAAAGGACUUAGAAGAACAAAGUCGGUUGAUAGCUGCUUCCAGUAGACCAAACCAAGCCAGUAGUGAGGGGCAGUUUGUUGUCCUUAGCAGUAGCCAGUCAGAAGAGAGUGAUUUGGGAGAAGAAGGAAAGAAGAGAGAGUCAGAAGCAUAAACUUAUCCUUACUUUUUGGUUGAUAUUCGCCUCCCACCCCUUUGAAUUUGUUGGCAAUUUCUGUGGUGAAAUGGCACAAGAUGUAUGUGAUCUUGAGAGUCCAUGUGGAAGGCUGUACUCCAAUUGAGACUGGUACAUCAGGGAGGCGAACAAUGCAAAGACCACUCACAAAGA